CCCCAUUCCCCCCUCUCUCCACACAACCCCCUAAUGCUACUAUUAGCCCUAAUACAGAUGUCACCGAAGUUGUCAACCCACCCCGUGGAAAUCUCUUCUAUACCGUUUCGCCCCUGCUUCGUUCAGCUUGCAUUCAUUCAGGCAACUCUCAUUCGGUGUGAACGAUGCAUUAACUGGAUGCAUUACUGUGUUGAAAUGCCGAUGCAAAGCCGAUUUUGAGCAGUGAGAAAAGAAGAGAAGAAAAGAAAAGAGGAGAGAAAAAAAAGUACCACGACAUCUCCUCGUGCCCAGUUACGUGCGACGUAGUCCCAAUGAAAAGAGGCCCAGUACCCAAGCCAUACAAAGAGCAGUCCCAGUGAAUGAAUGGGGAGGACCCAUAGUAGUAAGGAUUAUACAGUCAAAAAGUCAUAGUAUGAAUUUGUCGGUCCAUUGAGACGAAUGCCGACGAUCUCCAAAGGCCUUCCGGUCCAGGGACACACCUGCCCAUUAUUACCGAGUGUCCUACCGGCAUCGAGAAUCGGCUGUUCCUAACCUCCGUGUCUCUUGCGAAGAAACCGUCAUCGUUUCCGGUGGCUAGAAAUUCGGUUACGGUCAACCGGAACCAAACUACGGUGACACGAAUUUUGUCUCUGAGAAUUUCUCAAGCAAAGGAUUCUACCGGGUGAGUUAAAAAAAUGUGUCAUCUUAAAUAUCUUCAAAUACCACACCACGUAUAUGAAUAUAAGAUAACCUCAUCGGAUACUCUCCCUCUCUCUCUCUCUCUCUCUCUCUCGUUCCAGGUCCUUCGUCUGCAAGGGUGGAUUUUGAGGGUGCGGCUCAACCCUACUUGGGCCACUUCGCAGGAGUAAAAUUAGUCCGGGCAAGACGCUUUAAUAUCUCCCGCCUACCCUUGCCAGUUUAAACGGCCUGCAGAAGAUCCUCAAGGCGCGCGCGGCGGCUGAGCCACGAUAAUAAUAAGGAUAACACUUGGGGAUAUUAGUUGCCACUCAGCUCGAGCCCGACUCCAAGUAAGAGGCCCUAAUCGACGCUACUAAACCCACGGGGAUUUUCCUCCUAACAUCAAGAGGGUCAUAAGUUCACUGCUCGCCAAAGAAUCCCUCACCCCGCCUUUUAACAGUUAGAAUAAAAUAAUCAUCCCCCCUUAGAAUUAAGAAAAAAAAAAA